AUCUAUGACCUUAGCUUUGUAUAUUUAUAUAACCUUAAUUAUUUUUAAUUCCAUUAAUACGAAGGAAUUUAAAGACAUGUUGCUUAAAUAUAGAUUUGUUCAUUUGUAAAAACUUCUGUGGCCUUCAGCUUUACUUUUAACAUUUUAUUAAUACAUUCUCUACUACUGUGAGACUAAAUUAUGUAAAUGUGAAUAUAUAGUUAUAGUGAAUAGUGUAGUCCUCAUAGAUAGUAGUUCUCAGUAGUCCUCAUUCCUUCAGAAAUACUCCAGAACGUAACAGUACUUGUAACAAGCGUGAAAUAAUUUUUCCCCUGAAAUCAUAUCGAGUGGCACCAUCAUAAAGUCAUAAAGGUCAAGGACAACAUUAAUUAAAGAAGACAAGGUUGAUUCUAUAGUAAGAAUUCUACCUGCAUUUUGUUUGUCCUUUUUUUCAACUUGAAGAAUCUUGUAGUUUAUUAUGGACUACAUAAACUCUGGACGUCGUAUGCUGUGAAGCAUAGCAGUACCCCAAAGGGUGCUCGUUCAUUUACCGCAUUGAAUUGCCAACAUCAUGAAUGCACUAUGCAGAAGUUAACACAACCAAAAGGACAAAAUCUGAUUCUUUACGUAUUGCCUCUGGAUUGAUGUUAGAUACAUAGAUGGCUCACAAAUACCACACGUCAUUAAUAUGGGUUGAAUUUUAUUAUAGGACUGACUGCAAGGACAUUACGAUUUAGAUGGGCUAACAAAUAAGAGAUUAGGAAUUUAUUUUGGCCGUAGCGAUGAAGUCAUUGGAUGUAUGCACUAGUAUCCUUUCUUAAUUUGGUUUGCUUUCCACACAUGUAAAUCAUGGCCGUUACUUUCUACAACUAAUUCAGACAGGGUACAGUGGGUUAUCUGGAAUAGGAGCAAUAGGCG
rnacentral:lncRNA from 1 species